GAUGAACGCUGGCGGCGUGCCUAAUACAUGCAAGUCGAGCGAACGGACGAGAAGCUUGCUUCUCUGAUGUUAGCGGCGGACGGGUGAGUAACACGUGGAUAACCUACCUAUAAGACUGGGAUAACUUCGGGAAACCGUAGCUAAUACCGGAUAAUAUUUUUAACCGCAUGGUUCAAAAGUGAAAGACGGUCUUGCUGUCACUUAUAGAUGGAUCCGCGCUGCAUUAGCUAGUUGGUAAGGUAACGGCUUACCAAGGCAACGAUGCAUAGCCGACCUGAGAGGGUGAUCGGCCACACUGGAACUGAGACACGGUCCAGACUCCUACGGGAGGCAGCAGUAGGGAAUCUUCCGCAAUGGGCGAAAGCCUGACGGAGCAACGCCUCGUGAGUGAUGAAGGUCUUCGGAUCGUAAAACUCUGUUAUUAGGGAAGAACAUAUGUGUAAGUAACUGUGCACAUCUUGACGGUACCUAAUCAGAAAGCCACGGCUAACUACGUG
rnacentral:rRNA from 1 species